UUUCUCUCUCUCUCUCUCAUGAAUAAACUCAUGAUUAUUGCUUGCCUCACAGGCAGCGCAUAAUGGCUGACCAACCUUCUCACCUUUGAAAAUGACUGGAGAAAAGACAUCAGAAAUGGAAAAUAUUUCUCCUAGAUCACAGUAACUGUCCUCAGCUGCCAAUGAGGCAACAGCAUUUAAGAACAUAUGCAGGCAAAUCUCUGGAAUUUCCCUGAAUUCGGAAAUGGAUCUGCCUGGUGAUAUUUGAGAAAUCAGGUAUGAAACUGUCAGG
rnacentral:lncRNA from 11 species